rnacentral:rRNA from 1 species
UACAGAGGGUGCAAGCGUUGUUCGGAAUUAUUGGGCGUAAAGCGCGUGUAGGCGGCCUUGCAAGUCGGGUGUGAAAGCCCUCAGCUCAACUGAGGAAGUGCGCCCGAAACUGCUUGGCUUGAGUACCGGAGAGGAUGGUGGAAUUCCCGAAGUAGAGGUGAAAUUCGUAGAUAUCGGGAGGAACACCGGUGGCGAAGGCGACCAUCUGGACGGAUACUGACGCUGAGACGCGAAAGCGUGGGUAGCAAACAGG